rnacentral:rRNA from 1 species
UACGGAGGAUCCAAGCGUUAUCCGGAUUUAUUGGGUUUAAAGGGUGCGUAGGCGGAUUGAUAAGUUAGAGGUGAAAUGUCCGAGCUCAACUCGGGAACUGCCUCUAAUACUGUUGAUCUAGAGAGUAGAUGCGGUAGGCGGAAUGUAUGGUGUAGCGGUGAAAUGCUUAGAGAUCAUACAGAACACCGAUUGCGAAGGCAGCUCACCAAUCUAUAUCUGACGUUGAGGCACGAAAGCGUGGGGAGCAAACAGG